rnacentral:rRNA from 1 species
GUCCAGACUCCUACGGAGGCAGCAGUGGGGAUAUGCACAUGGCGAAGCUGAUGCAGCGACGCGCGUGGGGGAUGAGUCUUCGGGUGUAACCCCUUUCAGCAGGGAGAGCGAAAGUGACGUACUGCAGAGAGCGCGGCUAACUACGUGCCAGCAGCCGCGGUAAUACGUAGGGCGCAGCGUUGUCAGGAAUUAUUGGGCGUAAAGAGCUCGUAGGCGGCUUGUCGCGUCUGCUGUGAAAGCACGAGGCUCAACCUCGUGUCUGCAGUGGGUACGGGCAGGCUAGAGUGUGGUAGGGGAGACUGGAAUUCUGGUGUAGCGGUGGAAUGCGCAGAUAUCAGGAGGAACACCGAUGGCGAAGGCAGGUCUCUGGGCCACAACUGACGCUGAGGAGCGAAAGCAUGGGGAGCGAACAGGAUUAGAUACCCUGGUAGUCCAUGCCGUAAACGGUGGGCACUAGAUGUGGGGACUAUUCCAUGGUUUCCGCGUCGCAGCUAACGCAUUAAGUGCCCCGCCUGGGGAGUACGGCCGCAAGGCUAAAACUCAAAGGAAUUGACGGGGGCCCGCACAAGCGGCGGAGCAUGCGGAUUAAUUCGAUGCAACGCGAAGAACCUUACCAAGGCUUGACAUAUACGGUCUAUCCCUAGAGAUAGGGAGUGAUUUUUUCGCCGUAUACAGGUGGUGCAUGGUUGUCGUCAGCUCGUGUCGUGAGAUGUUGGGUUAAGUCCCGCAACGAGCGCAACCCUCGUCCUAUGUUGCCAGCACGUAAUGGUGGGGACUCAUAGGAGACUGCCGGGGUCAACUCGGAGGAAGGUGGGGAUGACGUCAAAUCAUCAUGCCCCUUAUGUCUUGGGCUUCACGCAUGCUACAAUGGCCGGUACAAAGGGCUGCGAUACCGUAAGGUGGAGCGAAUCCCAAAAAGCCGGUCUCAGUUCGGAUUGAGGUCUGCAACUCGACCUCAUGAAGUUGGAGUCGCUAGUAAUCGCAGAUCAGCAACGCUGCGGUGAAUACGUUCUCUGGCCUUGUACACACCGCCAAUCAAGUCAAAAAACUCUUUUAUAUUUUCUUCUCGCCGCUCAAGACGUCGC